rnacentral:lncRNA from 1 species
AUUUCUCGGUGUCUCCAGCUGCAACGGUUGUGGCUGUCGAGGCUUCGCUGGACGGCGCCUUGGGAUACCCCCGGGAAGUCUUCUUCGUUUAAGAAGCCUCCCUGAGUAAACCGAGGGCACACACCACCGUUGAAGUUUCUGCAGUGUCGGUUCCUACUGAGGAGUUCACGUCUCGCUGCGUUUUCUCAGCCCUCCUGUGUCCUCCCUGCGCCGCGAACGCCAUGCGGAUCAGGAGACGAGACACGUCCACAGCGGCACAGAGAGAGAACGAAAGAGACUGAACCGAGGGAAGACGCCCUUUGCCAUGUCAAGGAUUCUUUCAUGUGUGUUUGCGGAUAUGUGCGUCGUCAUUUGUAUAAACCACGAGAUGCGUUUUUUUACAGAUGCAUACCAGCAGUUCGUGUCACCGCAGAGGGGUAGGUCGACGCCAGCCCAAGGGGUACUGUAUCAUUAGGUCAACCCGAAAUGCAUUGGAGGUGAUUUCGCCGGUAGCCCGCCAGAAAGGCAUUUUAAAGAUAAAGAAUGGCCCUCAUCCCCCAAGGAAUUGCGUGGUUUACCGGCGUCACACUGACUUCCGGUCUCGACUCGUCUCCCAGGUUCUCCAUGUUUUCCAUAGAUACAAGAUACAGGCGAAAACGGGUUUUUUGUUUUUUUUUCGUAGAGGCGGUACAACCUUUCUUCGGUUUGCCUUGAAGUCGAACAAAGCUCUUUUGAGUUGAAGAACAUCGGCACGGCCGCAGUGGUUUAGAUAUCAAAGUUCUUGUGUGACUCAGUAAGAUUACAUUCCCGUAAAAGCGUGUGUCACUGCUCGCCCAAUAGCAGUACAAGAGCGUUUCAGCCGAUCGAACUGCUAUGUGCCGCACAGCAGGAAGAAACUACUUUCGGAUUUCUGCAUAAUGCAAUCCUCCUGCCACAGCCACGUGGCGAAUCCUACAAGUGCUACCGUUGUGUUUGACCAGACUCGCCUGAUCAAUAUCUCCCGUAAUCGAACUACGAGGGCUUGUUCUGCUUGGAGCACGCGCGUCUGUGUGUGGAUAACUGUAUACUUUCAUGCACCUUAUAAGUGUAGCGGAACAACGCAGGUUUCAGGUAUGGCGAGCGCGUAUAACGGGACUUGAAGUGAGAAUCGGUGUACAGAAGAG